AACGAACGCUGGCGGCAGGCUUAACACAUGCAAGUCGAACGGUUGUAGCAAUACAGCAGUGGCGCACGGGUGAGUAACGCGUGGAUAUCUGCCUUUUGGUCGGAAUAACUCCGGGAAACUGGAGCUAAUACCGGAUGGUUCCUACGGGAUAAAGAUUUAUCGCCAAAAGAUGAGUCCGCGUACGAUUAGCUAGUUGGUGAGGUAAUGGCUCACCAAGGGCACGAUCGUUAGCUGGUCUGAGAGGACGAUCAGCCACACUGGGACUGAGACACGGCCCAGACU
rnacentral:rRNA from 1 species